GAUGAACGCUGGCGGCGUGCCUAAUACAUGCAAGUCGAGCGAACAGACGAGGAGCUUGCUCCUCUGACUUUAGCGGCGGACGGGUGAGUAACACGUGGAUAACCUACCUAUAAGACUGGGAUAACUUCGGGAAACCGGAGCUAAUACCGGAUAAUAUAUUGAACCGCAUGGUUCAAUAGUGAAAGACGGUUUUGCUGUCACUUAUAGAUGGAUCCGCGCCGCAUUAGCUAGUUGGUAUGGUAACGGCUUACCAAGGCAACGAUGCGUAGCCGACCUGAGAGGGUGAUCGGCCACACUGGAACUGAGACACGGUCCAGACUCCUACGGGAGGCAGCAGUAGGGAAUCUUCCGCAAUGGGCGAAAGCCUGACGGAGCAACGCCGCGUGAGUGAUGAAGGUCUUCGGAUCGUAAAACUCUGUUAUUAGGGAAGAACAAAUGUGUAAGUAACUAUGCACGUCUUGACGGUACCUAAUCAGAAAGCCACGGCUAACUACGUG
rnacentral:rRNA from 1 species